UUGUGGGUGACUCAGUGGUAGAGCACUUGCCUAGCAUGCAUGAGGCACUGAUUUUUCAGCACCACAUA
rnacentral:tRNA from 1 species